rnacentral:lncRNA from 1 species
GUGUGUGUCUCAGGAGUUGUCAUUUGUCUUUCUUGCUGAUGCUUGUAAACAGGUUAUCUCCUGAGAACAGUAAGUGAUGUAAUAAUAGAUCAGCAGGGAAUGGAAGCUCCAUGUUCUAUGCAUUAAUGCAUCAAAUAUGCCAACAUUAAAAUGAAGUAUAAUUUCCUGAGGGAUAUCUUAAGUUGAAAAUUACAUGCUGAUCACUAAAGAAACCAAAGGUUUCCCCUUUGGUGCUCAGUUAGUUGUCGCUGGCACCUUCUUAUCCUAAGAUGCCACCCUGCUCCACCUUACAAGAUAUG